rnacentral:lncRNA from 1 species
GCAUGCUAGUCUUACAUUCAAACCGACACUCAGAGAAACUAGGGAGCUUGUGCAAGACCAGCAAUAAGUAUGUGGGCAGCUGGGGUUCAACUAAGUCCUUCCCUGGAUCCAUCCGAGCUGCUCCGCCCCCCACCUCACUCCUACCACCCCACCAUGGCCCCCGAUAGACACAGCAGGUCUGAACAUUCGGCACCCCAAACGCAGAGUACGGAGCAGAGCCGGCUUCUGCAGUGGGAACUCACAUGCAACCCACUCCCCUUCUUGCCGAAUGCCUCGGGGCUCUGUGCGGUAAGGUCUGCAGAUGUGGCCUCACUCUGUUCCAGGAGAUCUGAGUGGCAGGCAGCGUUUUGGAGAGUGCUCGUCCAGACAGGAGAGAGGCAUCUGACGGGGCUCGUCGGCUGAUCCAUGAGACACAGGACACCUGAGAGAAGGGCUGAGAAACCUCACAAAGUCACUCCCAGCCUGGAGAGGACAGGACCACCGCGGGGUCCUCCCAGUCCACGCUUCGGACAGGUCUUGCUGCAGCCUGUGGUGCUUGUCAGGCGCGAGUAAUCUUCCCAGGGCAGGAGCUCUCGUUACACAGCAAAAGCGGCAUAGGUGAUGCAGCAGGGCGUACUUCAGCCUAGGGCUCAGGAACCACGGGGUGCAGCGCGGCCUGCAGCAAACCAGACACAUCAGAAGCCAAAGUCCCACCUUUUACAUUCAGUGACAUCGAACAGAGGGAGUUAUCUGUGGCAAUCGUCUUCCUGGGGGACCCGUACAGUGCGCAUGACCACCGACACUGACUACGAGUCCUUCCUAGGUCCUGGGGGCUACCCCACUUUACACGCGUUGGUUCCAUUCACAAAUCUAUGCGGGGCAGUUUUUAGCCCCAGCUUACAGAGGAGGAAAACGCUGCUGGAAAACUAAGUGAGAAAAUCAGACUUCAACACACCUGCCGUCUCCAAGACCCCUACUACUCUAUGUCCUAGGGUCUCAAGGGUUGGGUGUGUGGCAUUUUAAGUGACUAAUCAUAGGCGGUUUUCUUCUCUCCUACACCUGUUUAGCCUAAACGUGCACGUACAUGCCCUGCUGCAGGCGCACUGCCGUAUGUGGACCAGUGACGCUGUUUCCUGCCUCGGGUUCUCUUCACUGCUUUCCGAAAUUCUCUCGCCUGCUUUACAGCCAUGCCAGGCAGGCCUGGUCAGCCGCACAGUGAAAUUCUUGCAGUGUCAGAGCUAAGUGCUGGCUGAGACUUUAACAGCGAAGACAGCAGAGUAAUGGGGAUAAAGUGAACAAAACUAUUGUAAUGCAGACGAAAGUCUAGAAGCAAAAGAAGCUGACACCCCUGAGAGAGCAGGCGACUGCGUCUCACUAUGAUGUUAAUAGCAGCUUGUUGUUUCCAGCGCCUCUGUGUGCCAGGGUUUCCAGUCAGCGUUUGUGUUUAUCUGCUCCUGGGCUGCCUGACCAAAUCUCUGUAGAGAUCAGGGAUAUCUAAAUUGACCCAGUAUCUGCACGCUGGCUGCUCAGAGGCCGUGGUGUGGAACAGCCAGGACAUCGCUUAGUCAUACGGGGCACAAGCACGUCACUUGCCACUCCUGUCUAUUUCAUCAAACCCUAUUUUCUCCUGAAUAUUGACCAUAGCGAAGUCAUUAGCCUUCGAGAUGCAUUCGAGACAUCAACUUGCUUGGUUCAAGAGGUUUAAGACACACGUAAGUCUUUCUUGCCAUGCUCAACACACAGGGCCGGCCGUUUCUGAAGUCAGUGUUUGUGGAACAAAAGCCUUGGCCUGCCCCUUGAACAUUCACGCUGAGCACACUGUCGCGAGGCUGCUUGGCCAGCCAGCAGGGGGCAGGAGAGAGCCGCAGGUGCCGCGUGGGGUUCCUGCAAAGCUGCCUCACUCCCUCAAUCAAGGGCGGUGCCUCCUGCCAAUGCAGCGGCUUCCUCCGCGGGAAAGCGGCCUCUUCAGGUGCCACCGCACUGAUUUCAGAUGACUCAGCCAAUGGGGCAACAGAUUCAACCGAGUUCCAUGUUGUUAAAGGAAAACUUAUGUUACCAGGCAACCUUAAUAUCAGAUUCAACGUAAAAUAACCAACAAGAUUGUUUCCAAACCAACAUGCUACUAGUGCCUUAGCCUUCGAUGCUGCUUAAACACGGAAAAGUAUGAGGAAAAAAGAGCAUGACAUUUCUUAAAAAAUAACACCUCUUCCAGGUUCAUUUUAGCCAUAUCAUAAAGACUUAGAACUGUGGAUUCCCUACAGGAACGUGGAGUGCCGGUGGAUCCCCACGCUCACCCAGCCUCCCUGCAGGUCCGUCACCCCCCUACCACGGGGUUCACACCUCUCCAGGCCCUGUCACCUCAUCAAGGAAAGGUGGUGUCUCUAAGCUCUCUUCACUGGGAGCACCCGAACAGGAGCUAGAGAGACACAGACACACCCACAACUGCUUUAAAAUCCUGAAAUGCAAUACAUAUUUAAGGACUUCAUUAUAGUUUUUUAAAACUGUAAGAACAAAGUGAGCCUGCUUUUAACAUCUAUGCCACAAUAACACCGUGUACAUCUGUCUUUUGCUGUUUGUUCCUUCUCCAGCAGCUGCUGUCUGGCUGGCGGACUGAAGAAGAGCCUCUGGUACUCCCGGGAGAUCCUCGGUAAAAGCGUGAGCACCACGAUCACGUCUCAGGAUGCCGCAAACGUUAGGGUCGCCCACAGACCGCCAUUCCCAGUGCUUAUAAGGCACUGAACGGGCCUCCUGCUCUUUAUAAAUGUCAACCUUCCUAAGCUAUGUUGUGUUGAAAAAUUUUAACUGCAGUCCACAAAUACUUGUUUGUUUCUGUCUUGUUUUUAUCCUAGAGGCAUAUUAUUAUGGAAAAUUAAGUUUGCAAGGUUGAAGGGUUUUCUGAAAGUCAACUUCUAAUUCUGGAAGGAAAAAAAAAAAAGGCCAGAUGUGGUGCUCACACUUGUAAUUCCAGCAGUUUGGGAGGCUGAGGCCGGCAGAUUGCUUGAGCCCAGGAGCUCGAGACCAGUCUGGAAAACAUGGCAAAACCCUGUCUCUAUUAAAAAUACAAAAAAAAAAAUCCAAAACAAACAAACAAAAAAAAAACUAGCUGGGCGUGAUGACGUGUGUCUAGUCCCAGCUACUCAGGAAGCUGAGGUGGGAGGAUCACCUGAGCCCAGGAGGAGAAGGCUGCAGUCAGCCAAGAUUUGCGUCACUGCACUCCAGCCUGGCCAACAAGAGCGAGUCCACUUCAAAAUAAAAAUAAAAAUAAAAAUA